UUGAUCCGGUUUCGAGUUUGAUUUGUACAAAACUUCAAAAUGUAAAAAAAAAAUUAUAAACAAAUCCGAAUGGUUAUUACGCAAUUGGAGACGCGUCGCAUACAUUUGGAAAGCUGAACAGAGUUUUUUUAUUUUGAUUUUUGGACAUACGAAUAUCCAACUCUGGCUUUUGGCAAAGGUGUUGUGAAAGUUUUUCACACAGGAAGCGGGCCAAGAUUUAUGUAAUCAUUUUAUGCUCAAGGCUGUUUGGGGACAACAACGUCGACUGCAUACUAAAUACGAAAAUAAAACAGUGUGAUUCAGAUUUGUCACAAACACACACAAUAUAAAUACUAUACGAAUAUCAGAGUUGAGGCUGGUUAAAAAAAAGUGGUCGAUCGACCUUGCCGGUCUGCGAAAGUUGGCUCA